AAAACUGUAUUGUAUAUAGUUUAUUUUUUUUAUUGUGUAAAUUUAAUUUUUGUAAAACUAAGGUUCCACAUGUCACUGUUGAAGUGAGGCAUUAAUCAGUGUGACACCACUUGUAAACAUGCUGCAUGUGUGGGGGUUCCCAGCCAGUGCUGCAUGGACUCCACACUGGGAUGAGCAGAGGCGUGCUGUUGCUGUGUGACACUGAUUUUGCUGCUCCACUUUGUGUUUUAGAAAUAAAUCCAGUUUCCAGC